CAGCCGCCGCGGUAAUACGUAGGGCGCAAGCGUUGUCCGGAAUUAUUGGGCGUAAAGAGCUCGUAGGCGGUCUGUCGCGUCUGGUGUGAAAUCCCGAGGCUCAACCUCGGGCUUGCAUCGGGUACGGGCAGACUAGAGUGCGGUAGGGGAGACUGGAAUUCCUGGUGUAGCGGUGGAAUGCGCAGAUAUCAGGAGGAACACCGAUGGCGAAGGCAGGUCUCUGGGCCGCAACUGACGCUGAGGAGCGAAAGCAUGGGGAGCGAACAGGAUUAGAGACCCCGGUAGUCCCUGUCUCUUAUAC
rnacentral:rRNA from 1 species